GGCGGCACAGCUACAGGGAUGUAGAAGAGAUGGGGAGGAAAAGCCUUCAGUCGCUCUCGGCUUGGCUCGGCAAGUUAUGUUUCGCCUUGUGAGAAGCCCUUCAUGAUGGGUGCCAAUCCGACAGAACUGGACUGCACGGUCUUCGGCAUGCUUGCGUUUGACGUGUUUUGUCCUCCUCUGUCGCCCUUCAAGAGGAUGCUCGAGAAAGACUACCGGAACCUGCACGCGUAUUGCCACCGCAUGAAGGAGAAGUU